UGCUUCUGUAAAUGUUGGUAUGGGUAAGUCUUGCAGUUCUUCUUUGCUCCGAUGCAGGUGCUAUUAUUAGCAAGGAUUCUGUGCUUUGUUUUAAGCGGAAGAUGUUCAGGAAUGCGUUAACUGUUGACUUGUCGUGGUUUUGACUGUCUGAGUGUGUUCUUUUUUAGGGUGGCAUCAUUGCAGGAUGUGCCCCGUGCCCACCAGAGGGAGUAUGAGAAACACGUGGAGAGCAUUGACAGUUCAAAGAUAACUGCCCAGGAAUGAGAGAAGCCUUCAGAUGCUGCUAUGAAUUACAAAUUCUACAGGGGCAUGAAAACAUACAUAGAGAACUUAGUAAAGAGUUUCAAUGAAAAAGCAAAAAUGAGAUUUCUUCUUUGGAAAUGAUGAUGAGAGACGACCAGUUAUGAGUCAGUUCUAUCAGAAACUUGAGUGUAACAGGAAACAAAGGAGGAACAGACCACCCCUCACAGUAACCUAAAAUGAUUAAGCUGAAAUACAUAACUGAGCUCGAAUCUGCUGUACGUGCACUUCUCCAGCAGCGAGCCGUGUCGGUACUGAAGCGAAAGCAAGAUGAGCUGGAAACGGAAUCUACUUAUAUGCAGCAUCUGACAAAAUGCAGGACUUGCAGGCGGCAGCUGAGAGAGCAUUCACAAACAG